GAAAAAUAAAUCCUUUUCCCAUGCAAAACAUUUCUAAAAAGCGAAGUAGGCUCUGCUUUUGAAAUUGAUGAAUCAUUUUUUUUAUAAGAAGGGUUGGGAAACAAAUAAGGAUCUUGGUCUAUUAACUGUCCAAAUUGAAGGCAAUCAAGAAGCCAUUGAGGAUGAAUUAAUUUAAUGCUUAGGGAAGGCUUAUCUAAAACUUUUUUGCAUUUUGCACCCAUACCACUAUAUGUGAACAAAUGAGUCAUUGAUUUCAUCAAACCCUUGCUAAACCUUCCGCCAAAAGUUUCUAAGGCAUCAUCGAUUAACGAAGACUGAUAAGAAUCUAUCUGGCAGGAAGAUGCACAUAUCCCUUUGAACAAUAAAUAAGGAUUGCAGGAAUAAAAGCUAUAAUUUAACAAAGUGUUUUUGUCAACACAAUCUCUAAUCCAAUUCGUCUAGCGACAGUUAGCGUG